CCCUUAGAUGUCCUGGGCCGCACGCGCGCUACACUGAUGCAUUCAACGAGUAUUUCCUUGGCCGAGAGGCCUGGGCAAUCUUUUAAACCUGCAUCGUGAUAGGGAUAGAUUAUUGCAAUUAUUAAUCUUGAACGAGGAAUUCCUAGUAAACGCAAAUCAACAAUUUGCAUUGAUUACGUCCCUGCCCUUUGUACACACCGCCCGUCGCACCUACCGAUUGAAUGGUCCGGUGAAAUCUCGGGAUUGUGGCCAGUUCACUUUAUUGGGAGUUGGCCGCGAGAACUUGCUUAAACCUUAUCAUUUAGAGGAAGGUGAAGUCGUAACA
rnacentral:rRNA from 1 species